rnacentral:rRNA from 1 species
GGAUUGGUGCCUUCGGGACUCUGAGACAGGUGCUGCAUGGCUGUCGUCAGCUCGUGUUGGGAAAUGUUGGGUUAAGUCCCGCAACGAGCGCAACCCUUAUCCUUUGUUGCCAGCGGUUCGGCCGGGAACUCAAAGGAGACUGCCAGUGAUAAACUGGAGGAAGGUGGGGAUGACGUCAAGUCAUCAUGGCCCUUACGAGUAGGGCUACACACGUGCUACAAUGGCGUAUACAAAGAGAAGCGACCUCGCGAGAGCAAGCGGACCUCAUAAAGUACGUCGUAGUCCGGAUUGGAGUCUGCAACUCGACUCCAUGAAGUCGGAAUCGCUAGUAAUCGUAGAUCAGAAUGCUACGGUGAAUACGUUCCCGGGUCUUGUACACACCG